UACGAAGGGUGCAAACGUUGCUCGGAAUUAUUGGGCGUAAAGCGCACGUAGGCGGCUUUGCAAGUCGGAUGUGAAAUCCCUCGGCUCAACCAAGGAAGUGCAUCCGAAACUGCAGAGCUUGAGUACUUAAGAGGAUCGCGGAAUUCCCGGUGUAGAGGUGAAAUUCGUAGAUAUCGGGAGGAACACCUGUGGUGUAGACAGCUUACUGGACCAUUUCUGACGCUGAGACACGAAAGCGUGGGUAGCAAACAGG
rnacentral:rRNA from 1 species